rnacentral:misc_RNA from 1 species
UGUUUGCAAACUGCACGCCAG